rnacentral:rRNA from 1 species
UACAGAGGGUGCGAGCGUUAAUCGGAAUUACUGGGCGUAAAGGGCGCGUAGGUUGUUAUAUAAGAUUGAUGUGAAAUCCCUGGGCUUAACCUAGGAAGGUCAUCGAUGACUGUAUAGCUAGAGUAUUGUAGAGGGUAGUGGAAUUUCCGGUGUAGCGGUGAAAUGCGUAGAGAUCGGAAGGAACAUCAGUGGCGAAGGCGGCUACCUGGACAAAUACUGACACUGAGGCGCGAGAGCGUGGGUAGCAAACAGG